rnacentral:rRNA from 1 species
CCUACGGGAGGCAGCAGUGAGGAAUAUUGGUCAAUGGGCGGAAGCCUGAACCAGCCAAGUCGCGUGAGGGAAUACUGCCCUAUGGGUUGUAAACCUCUUUUGCCGGGGAGCAACGGCGGGGACGUGUCCCCGCCCGGAGAGUACCCGGAGAAAAAGCAUCGGCUAACUCCGUGCCAGCAGCCGCGGUAAUACGGAGGAUGCGAGCGUUAUCCGGAUUUAUUGGGUUUAAAGGGUGCGUAGGCGGGGUUCUAAGUCAGCGGUAAAAAUUCGGGGCUCAACCCCGUCCGGCCGUUGAAACUGGGGGCCUUGAGUGGGCGAGAAGAAGGCGGAAUGCGUGGUGUAGCGGUGAAAUGCAUAGAUAUCACGCAGAACCCCGAUUGCGAAGGCAGCCUUCCGGCGCCCUACUGACGCUGAGGCACGAAAGUGCGGGGAUCGAACAGGAUUAGAUACCCGAGUAGUC